rnacentral:lncRNA from 1 species
AUGAACAGCACGACUAGAAAUACUAACCAUGAUGCUCGGCUUGUUGGCCAUGUUCAUUUGAACAAGACAUUGUAGAAAAGAUACGCAUGGCAUAAAUAACAAAAGUGACCAUGGAAUUAAUGCCUAAUUUUCGUGUUAAGUAUGGAUAAGUGGGUUUAAGAAGGGUGAUUAUAAGUAAGAAUUGGUAUAUCGAAAGUCUAUGAUAUGCCUAUAAUGAUACGUCGACCUUUUUAUGAAUAUGAAUGUAAGUAGAAGAAACGUUAGUGAUGAUAUGUGUUAAGAGCUAGUAUUAUAAAGUAAAAGACACUAAUAAGAGCUCUGGAGCAUAGUCUAACAUAAGUAUAACUAUGAAAGUAAUAUAAGUAAUAUGAGGGCAUAGGAGCGAUGUGUACAAUUACGUUCAUGUAUGAAUAACACCUUUGCCAAGAUCCCGAAUGCGUUUAGGUGGUAGUAAGUAUUGUGAAUGAAGCAACCUGAAAGGGGUAAGAGUAGAAUCGGUCUAGUUUGAAUGAGAAAGGUUUCGGGGACGAAACCUUCUUUAAGGGGGGUAGACUUGUAACACCCCAAAAUUCGAAUUAUUAAAUUCGUUAGCAUGUUGCCAUGUUUAAUAAAACGAGAUACAAUAACUAGGUUAAUAAACCUAGUUAAAUGCCUAUUAGAUAAGCUAAAUGAUGAAACUUGUGGCAUAUAUGAUAGUAAGUUAAACUUGAGGGACUUGGAGUGCCAAACUUGGAAGUUUGGUUUACUAAAACAAAAAUCACACACACACCCACACAAGGGUGCGUGAGAUCGGGCAGGAGAAAAGAAAAAGGGGUGAAACCCUAGUUCUCAAGAAAGCUUCAAAUUGACAAGGAAAUUAGGCUCAAAUCCGAUGCAUGAACUCGUUUUCUUGAUGAUCUAGCCCUAACAAACAUGUGGUAAGUUGUAUUUUAUGAUUUGAUGAUCUUGCUAUGAAGUGGGUUAUGGUCAAUCCAUGAAAUUGUAUGAAAUU